GUGGAGAGGAUAAGGAGGGCCUCGCUUGGCUUCCUGCUGCUCCCCUGAUUAGAAGCCCUUCUAAGGGGAUCAAGGCUGUGACUGGCUAUGAGAAGAGAAAACUAAUGCUCCAUUUCCCACUCAGUCCCUGGGCUGCUGAACUCUUCCCCACCACUUGAGGAGGAGCUACGCUGGGAAGAGAUGAGCUGAUGCCCAGCUCAGCUGCUCUUCUGAGUCUUCAAUUUCCAGACCAACCUCCCUUAAGGUGACUGACAGUGGGGACCUCAACCUCACCUACAGGGAUGUGGACUGAUCCCAUGGUCUCAGUGAGAGACCCAGGCAAUAUUUCUACAUGAAGCAUGUUGGAUUUCUGAAUUAUCCAGCCUCAAAUGACACCGGGAUGGGACAGUGUUAACCCAGAUAAGAAAACUGAGGCUCUGAGAAGUUGAGGGACUUGGUCAAGGCCACAUGUCAGUGAGUGCCAGAAGUUUCUGCUACUCCUACAAAAUCAGAAGUUCCCCAAAUCCAAACCAUCUCGACCUACCCCUGUGACCCGCCAAAAGAAGCUGGCCUUCCCCAUCCUCCUGUCUCCGCAGUGCCAUUUGCCUUUCAGUCUCCUAAAAAGAAGCACUUACUCUCUUCCCCAAAUCGCAGAGGGAAGCUUCAAAUACACUUCUAAUCAUCCUCAGUACCCAGCAGUAUAUAGGAAGUUAUUGUCCCAAAGUUGUGUGUCAUGCCCGAAGUGUCUGGGAUCCCCGAGUGCCUGUGGUGCCCAAGAGCUAUGAAUCUGCUAUCAUCAACACAGAGGGUACCUUCUGAAUGGGCUAUGUCUACAGUGAUGCUGCAAAUGGAAGCUAACCCUAGGAUGACUGGCCUCUGACACUUGAGCCAUCCCAUCAUCUGUCAUGGGUUGACCCAUCCAUCCCCUCAAUGAGCCUGACCUUCAGGACCACUGACAGAGGAGCAGUCAAUAGAAAUUAAUUGUUAAAUACCCAGAAAAUCUGAAAUGGUAUUUAAUAUGCAGUUCAUCAAGAGCAAAAGUUCCUUAAAUCUUCAUCUAGAAAAGUUAUUUAUAAGGGAUGAAUAUGUUGUAUGAAUAUGUUGUAUGCAAAUAUUAUAUUCAAGGGCAAGACCAUGAAAACAGUUUAAGAAUCCGACAGGGAAUUAGAUAAAGACAUCGGAGUGCACUUGUCAAAAUACAGCUAUCAAGAAUGAUGAUGUUGAAAAAUAGUUUAGCAAUAUAAUUGUCUAGAACCACAGGGAGUCUGAGAUUUUACCCAACUUGUGAGUUAACAACUCUGCUAUAGCUUCAUGAAAGAAGACACAAGACUCCUGGGUCAGGAACAAAGGUCUCUAAUACUCACAGCAAUAUCAGGAGCCAGAAUUUCAGGAUCCUUUUUCCUGCCAGUUUCUCAAGUCCUAAUUACCACCGAGUUACAGGAAAGGGCCAGGUAACACUAGCACUGCCAUCAGUGGCUGUAUUACAGAACAGGAACUCCAAGCUUAGGAAACCCAAAUCUUUUAUAGUUAACAAUGAACACAUCUGCCAUUGUUCUGAAGGGAGACGCUACCCCAAUCUUCCACACCUGUUCACUAUAUAAAUAUCUGUGAAAAGAUAGACAGAAAAAUAGGUGGAGAAUGCCUCUGCUCACAAGAUGUGCAGAAACGUGAGAGGCUCAUGGAGAACUGUUUCCCUACAAUGACAAAAUGCUGACGAUAUAUUGUUAUGUAAAAUAAAGCAGGCAUUUUUCACCUCA
ensembl:lncRNA WDR11-DT WDR11 divergent transcript